rnacentral:rRNA from 1 species
UACGAAGGGGGCGAGCGUUGUUCGGAUUUAUUGGGCGUAAAGAGCGUGUAGGCGGCUUUACAGGUCCGUUGUGAAAACUCGAGGCUCAACCUCGAGACGCCGGUGGAAACCGUAAAGCUAGAGUCCGGAAGAGGAGAGUGGAAUUCCUGGUGUAGCGGUGAAAUGCGCAGAUAUCAGGAAGAACACCAGUAGCGAAGGCGGCUCGCUGGGCCAUUCCUGACGCUGAGACGCGAAAGCUAGGGGAGCGAACAGG